rnacentral:rRNA from 1 species
GCAGUAGCCGCGGUAAAACAGAGGGUGCGAGCGUUAAUCGGAUUUACUGGGCGUAAAGCGUGCGUAGGCGGCUUCUUAAGUCGGAUGUGAAAUCCCUGAGCUUAACUUAGGAAUUGCAUUCGAUACUGGGAAGCUAGAGUAUGGGAGAGGAUGGUAGAAUUCCAGGUGUAGCGGUGAAAUGCGUAGAGAUCUGGAGGAAUACCGAUGGCGAUGGCAGCCAUCUGGCCUAAUACUGACGCUGAGGUACGAAAGCAUGGGGAGCAAACAGGAUUAGAUACCCGCGUAGUCCCUGUCUCUUAUAC